rnacentral:lncRNA from 1 species
UCGUCGAAAUUCUCCAUGCAAGAUCGAUGGCUCCAGUCAUCAUUAAGCAUGUGUUCGUAUUCGAAGCGGGUGCAACGUUCAUCUUCGGCUCCUGGCUCUGCAUCGCUGAUGGCAUUGGAGGUUUCCAACACUGCAUCAUCGAAGAACCAGGGAAGAAGCACCUUAGCAGGAACUCUCGUUGACAUGUAGCGGAAGCUUUUGUCAAAAAAUUCAAAUAUUUCGAUCUGAAUAACACCGGGUUCGACCACAACUCGGUCUCAACCACAACUCGGACUAGUCCGCGCGAGCAGGUAAUUCAGCCAUCGUGUGGACCGGAUACACCUCCAAGCCGAUUUCCACUUGGACUCCGAAAUGCGGUCACGGUCCAUCAAAAAAGCUCUAUCCAAAAUCCAAUCCGGAUUAGAGCCAAUUGAGGACCACGACUGCAACUCAGACUCUCUUGAAGAAGUCCCCUUAUAAGGUCCACAGCAGGGUCUGAUAAUCACAACAACACCGUAAGGCAGAUUCGUUUACUGGCCCGGCAUGAAGCCAUCCUUCCUUGCCCAAGACAACAAGUCAGACCUCGUCGCACACUUUGAUAUCCUCCCAUACCAAGAGGGUACCCCACUCUCACCGAUCUGCGAAGAAGAUGGCUCCACUGAAGUCAUAACAUCCAACUCCAAAAGCUACUAUCCGGAUAGAGAACUCUUUGUUGUUGUUUCGCCAGCCUAUGGAACAUGGACCAGCGAUCAACACUAAAGAACACUUUGACGGGAACGCCAAAUCGAAGAAAUCUCCCAAGAUGAAUUAUCAGCUGACGCCUCGGAGGGUGAAACUAGCAGCCAGAGAACUCAAAGAAGAGCAUGAAACACUCAAAGAGAAGAAUGUCAUCGACUUUUUGUCGCAAGACUUCCCAUUGUGAACCUUGACAGAGCAUUUGAAGCAGUACAAACGUGAGAACACAACACGCCACUCACCACUAUUGCCUCUAUCGACCUUAUCGCCCGUUUAAUGCCUCCGAACAAAUAUAGCGAUCUCCUGUCAUACUUGGUAGAACACGCAUACAAACUCCUCGACAAGGAAACACCAAUCCCAUCUGUACCUCGUAACGCAAGUCACCAUGAUGAUAGCAGAGAUCAUGUAAGACUCUCAAACCAACCACACGAAGAACCAAGACAACAUAGGGGCGUACUCAAAGCUCCAAGACGAAACAGAGAUGCAGCAUAGGGUAGUCGUACAGCGUCCACGGAAAGCCCACGUUACCACAAAGCUAAUUCAGAACCCUCGCACAUUAUUGCUUUUAGAGAAACAUUAAAUCACAACCAUGAUGCUCGAGAUAUAAUCAACAAUCGCCACUGUAAAUGUGAAGCUGAG